rnacentral:misc_RNA from 1 species
CAUGGACUCACAAAAGGGUCUUUAGCUUUUCUUAAUUACCCUGCACAGAUCAUGUUUAAAUCCACCAAGGUUCUGCCAGUGAUGGUGAUGGGGUCCUUUAUUCCAGGACUGAGGCGGAAAUAUCCAGCUCAUGAAUACUUAUCAGCACUACUUUUGGUUGUGGGGUUGAUCCUUUUCACCUUAGCAGAUGCACAAACUUCCCCUAAUUUCAGUAUCAUUGGUGUUGUGAUGAUAUCUGGUGCUUUAAUCAUGGACUCCUUUCUUGGUAAUUUACAAGAAUCUUUACCAUGAAUCCUGAAACUACACAGAUGGAGAUGUUGUUUUGUUCAAGUGUAGUGGGUUUGCCUUUCUUGAUCCCUCCCAUGAUUUUCACCGGAGAGUUAUUCAGGG